rnacentral:rRNA from 1 species
GACAGAGGGGGCAAGCGUUGCUCGGAAUCACUGGGCGUAAAGGGCGCGUAGGCGGGAUGCAAGUCGGUCGUGAAAUCUCUCGGCUCAACCGAGAAACGUCGGCCGAUACUGCCGUUCUUGAGGGAUGCAGAGGAGACUGGAAUUCCCGGUGUAGCGGUGAAAUGUGUAGAGAUCGGGGAGGAACACCGGUGGCGAAGGCGGGUCUCUGGGCAUU